AGCAGCCGCGGUAAUUCCAGCUCCAAUAGCGUAUAUUAAAGUUGUUGCAGUUAAAAAGCUCGUAGUUGAAUUUCGGGAUCAAAGGAUCGGUCAUGCCUUGGUAUGUACUGGUUUUAUUGGUUCUCACCUUCUAAAGAACCAUAAUGUCAUUCAUUUGAUGUUAUGGGGAAUUAGGACUGUUACCUUGAAAAAAUUUAGAGUGUUUAAAGCAGGCUUACGCUUGAAUACAUUAGCAUGGAAUAAUGAAAUAGGACAUCAGAUUCUAUUUUGUUGGUUUCUAGGAUCGAUGUAAUGAUUAAUAGGGAUAGUUGGGGGCAUUAGUAUUCAAUUGUCAGAGGUGAAAUUCUUGGAUUUAUUGAAGACUAACUACUGCGAAAGCAUUUGCCAAGGAUGUUUUCAUUAAUCAAGAACGAAAGUUAGGGGAUCGAAGACGAUCAGAUACCGUCGUAGUCUUAACCAUAAACUAUGCCGACUAGGGAUCGGAUGAUGUUAA
rnacentral:misc_RNA from 1 species